GUCCACGCCGUAAACGAUGGAUACUAGCUGUUGGGUGCAAACUCAGUGGCUAAGCGAAAGUGAUAAGUAUCCCACCUGUGGAGUACGUUCGCAAGAAUGAAACUCAAAGGAAUUGACGGGGCCGCACAAGCGGUGGAGCAUGUGGUUUAAUUCGAUGAUACGCGAGGAACCUUACCAAGGCUUAAAUGUAGAUUGACCGGUUUGGAAACAGAUCUUUCGCAAGACAAUUUACAAGGUGCUGCAUUGUUGUCGU
rnacentral:rRNA from 1 species